AUUGAACGCUGGCGGCAGGCCUAACACAUGCAAGUCGAGCGGAUGAAGGGAGCUUGCUCCUUGAUUCAGCGGCGGACGGGUGAGUAAUUCCUAGGAAUCUGCCUGGUAGUGGUUGCUAACGUCCGGAAACGGGCGCUAAUACCGCAUACGUCCUGAGGGAGAAAGUGGGGGAUCUUCGGACCUUACGCUAUCAGAUGAGCCUAGGUCGGAUUAGCUAGUUGGUGGGGUAAAGGCCUACCAAGGCGACGAUCCGUAACUGGUCUGAGAGGAUGAUCAGUCACACUGGAACUGAGACACGGUCCAGACUCCUACGGGAGGCAGCAGUGGGGAAUAUUGGACAAUGGGCGAAAGCCUGAUCCAGCCAUGCCGCGUGUGUGAAGAAGGUCUUCGGAUUGUAAAGCACUUUAAGUUGGGAGGAAGGGCAGUAAGUUAAUACCUUGCUGUUUUGACGGUACCAACAGAUUAAGCACCGGCUAACUUCGUG
rnacentral:rRNA from 1 species